rnacentral:lncRNA from 10 species
AGUGCGACCCCUUGGUGCUGGAGGCCCUGGGUCACCUGCGCUCCGCCCUCAUCCCCAGUCGCUUCCAGUUGGAGCAGCUGCAGGCGCGCGCCGGGGCCGUGCUGAUGGGCAUGGAGGGGCCUUUCUUCCGGGACUACGCGCUGAACGUGUUUGUGGGGAAAGUGGAGACAAAUCAACUGGACCUUGUGGCGUCCUUUGUCAAGAACCAAACGCAGCACUUAAUGGGUAACUCUCUGAAAGCAGCCGGGCACGGUGGCUCAUGCCUGUAAUCCCAGCACUUUGGGAUGCCGAGACAGGUGGAUCGCCUGAGGUCAGGAAUUCAAGACUAGCCUGGCCAACAUGGUAAAACCCCGUCUCUACUAAAAAUACAAAAAUUAGCCAGGUGUGGUGGCGGGCACCUGUAAUCCCAGCUACUCAGGCUGAGGCAGGAGAAUCACUUGAACCUAGGAGGCAGAGGUUGCAGUGAGCAAAGAUCACGCCAUUGCACUCCAGCCUGGGCGACAAGAGCAAAACUCCGUUUGAAAAAAAAAAAAAAAAUUCUAGUAGUCACAUUUUUAAAAAGCACAUCUCAAUUCAGACUAGCCUAUUUCAAGUGUUCAGUAGCCAUGUGUGGCUAGUGGCUACCACACUGGACAGUGCACGUCUAGGUAAUAUAUAAAGCCAUAUGGAUUGAAAUCAUGAAGGAGUGAGUGUAGACACAAAAAAGAAGAGGUCGGGUGCGGUGGCUCACGUCUGUAAUCCCAGCACUUUGGGAGGCCGAGGUGGGAGGAUCACCUGAGGUCAGGAGUUUGAAACCAGCCUGGCCAACAUGGCGAAACCCUGUCUCUACUAAAAAUACAAAAAAUUAGCCAGGUGUGAUGGCACGUGCCCGUAAUCCCAGCUAUUUGGGAGGC